rnacentral:rRNA from 1 species
GUAGUACUGCAAGUCGAGCGGACCGACGGGAGCUUGCUCCCUUAGGUCAGCGGCGGACGGGUGAGUAACACGUGGGUAACCUGCCUGUAAGACUGGGAUAACUCCGGGAAACCGGGGCUAAUACCGGAUGCUUGAUUGAACCGCAUGGUUCAAUCAUAAAAGGUGGCUUUUAGCUACCACUUACAGAUGGACCCGCGGCGCAUUAGCUAGUUGGUGAGGUAACGGCUCACCAAGGCGACGAUGCGUAGCCGACCUGAGAGGGUGAUCGGCCACACUGGGACUGAAACACGGCCCAGACUCCUACGGGAGGCAGCAGUAGGGAAUCUUCCGCAAUGGACGAAAGUCUGACGGAGCAACGCCGCGUGAGUGAUGAAGGUUUUCGGAUCGUAAAACUCUGUUGUUAGGGAAGAACAAGUACCGUUCGAAUAGGGCGGCACCUUGACGGUACCUAACCAGAAAGCCACGGCUAACUACGUGCCAGCAGCCGCGGUAAUACGUAGGUGGCAAGCGUUGUCCGGAAUUAUUGGGCGUAAAGCGCGCGCAGGCGGUUUCUUAAGUCUGAUGUGAAAGCCCCCGGCUCAACCGGGGAGGGUCAUUGGAAACUGGGGAACUUGAGUGCAGAAGAAGAGAGUGGAAUUCCACGUGUAGCGGUGAAAUGCGUAGAGAUGUGGAGGAACACCAGUGGCGAAGGCGACUCUCUGGUCUGUAACUGACGCUGAAGCGCGAAAGCGUGGGGAGCGAACAGGAUUAGAUACCCUGGUAGUCCACGCCGUAAACGAUGAGUGCUAAGUGUUAGAGGGUUUCCGCCCUUUAGUGCUGCAGCAAACGCAUUAAGCACUCCGCCUGGGGAGUACGGUCGCAAGACUGAAACUCAAAGGAAUUGACGGGGGCCCGCACAAGCGGUGGAGCAUGUGGUUUAAUUCGAAGCAACGCGAAGAACCUUACCAGGUCUUGACAUCCUCUGACAACCCUAGAGAUAGGGCUUCCCCUUCGGGGGCAGAGUGACAGGUGGUGCAUGGUUGUCGUCAGCUCGUGUCGUGAGAUGUUGGGUUAAGUCCCGCAACGAGCGCAACCCUUGAUCUUAGUUGCCAGCAUUCAGUUGGGCACUCUAAGGUGACUGCCGGUGACAAACCGGAGGAAAGGGGGGGAUGAAGUCAAAUCAUCCU